GUGCUCACUUUGGCAACACAUAUAUUAAAGUUGUAAUGAUACAGAAAUUAGCAUGCUCCCUGUACAAGGAUGACAAGAAAAUCCUUGAAGCUUCCAUAUCUAAA